rnacentral:rRNA from 1 species
UACAGAGGGGGCGAGCGUUGUUCGGAAUUACUGGGCGUAAAGGGCGCGUAGGCGGCCUCUAAAGUCGAACGUGAAAUCCCCGGGCUCAACCCGGGAACUGCGUCCGAUACUGGGGGGCUUGAAUCCGGGAGAGGGAUGUGGAAUUCCAGGUGUAGCGGUGAAAUGCGUAGAUAUCUGGAGGAACACCGGUGGCGAAGGCGGCAUCCUGGACCGGUAUUGACGCUGAGGCGCGAAAGCCAGGGGAGCAAACGGG